rnacentral:rRNA from 1 species
AUUGAACGCUGGCGGCAGGCCUAACACAUGCAAGUCGAACGGUAACAGAAAGCAGCUUGCUGCUUUGCUGACGAGUGGCGGACGGGUGAGUAAUGUCUGGGAAACUGCCUGAUGGAGGGGGAUAACUACUGGAAACGGUAGCUAAUACCGCAUAACGUCGCAAGACCAAAGAGGGGGACCUUCGGGCCUCUUGCCAUCGGACGUGCCCAGAUGGGGUUAGCUAGUAGGUGGGGUAACGGCUCACCUAGGCGACGAUCCCUAGCUGGUCUGAGAGGAUGACCAGCCACACUGGAACUGAGACACGGUCCAGACUCCUACGGGAGGCAGCAGUGGGGAAUAUUGCACAAUGGGCGCAAGCCUGAUGCAGCCAUGCCGCGUGUAUGAAGAAGGCCUUCGGGUUGUAAAGUACUUUCAGCGGGGAGGAAGGGAGUAAAGUUAAUACCUUUGCUCAUUGACGUUACCCGCAGAAGAAGCACCGGCUAACUCCGUG